rnacentral:snRNA from 1 species
AUCGCUUCUCGGCCUUUUGGCUAAGAUCAAGUGUAGACUCCCCGUGAAUGAUUAAUGUUAUCUUUUCCUGGCUUAUGAAUAAAAGCCCUUUUCCUUUAGUGUCCAUUCAAACAAUGGAGAAACUCUUC